rnacentral:misc_RNA from 1 species
AAAUGCGAUAAUUAAUGUGAAUUGCAGAAUUCAGUGAAUCAUCGAGUCUUUGAACGCACAUUGCGCCCCCUGGUAUUCCGGGGGGCAUGCCUGUCCGAGCGUCAUUGCUGCCCUCAAGCACGGCUUGUGUGUUGGGCUUCCGUCCCUGGCAACGGGGACGGGCCCAAAAGGCAGUGGCGGCACCAUGUCUGGUCCUCGAGCGUAUGGGGCUUUGUCACCCGCUCCCGUAGGUCCAGCUGGCAGCUAGCCUCGCAACCAAUCUUUUUAACCAGGUUGACCUCGGAUCAGGUAGGGAUAUCCGCUGAACUUAAGC